CUUGUAUUCCUGCUAUACUAAUGUGUUUAGUUCGUAUUAUUAGUAGUUGAAAGAUAGGAUUAAUUAAAAGUCGACGCCACUGCAUUGUCGAAAUUUCUCUUUUUGAUCACCUGUAUUUUUUGACAUAACAUUCGACGUUCUUUUUAAUUACGUACUGGGGCAAAAAUGAUGUUUUCCUUUAAUAUAUGUAACCUUCAUUUUUAUUGUUUCAUCAUUUCUUUAAUGUUGAAUUCAUAUUGAAAAAAAUGUUAUGUAUGUAUAUGUAAUGCUUACGUAACACCUGAGAUCUUAAACCAGUAAAUAUUUUUCAAACAAAUAUGAUUUUAUAGUUAAAGUAAUAUUUCAAUAGGGAAUAUUUUGAAAAACAUAAAUGCGAUGCCUUUUGAAAACGAGAAAAUAACAGUAUUAUAUGGUUCCCAGACUGGAAACGCUCAAGAUUUAGCAGAACGAAUUUGGAGAGAAUCUAAAAGAUAUUAUUUCUUAAGUUCUGUUAAACCCCUAGAUGAUUAUAACAUUGUUAACCUAGUAAAUGAAACAUGUGUUAUAAUUGUUUGCUCUACUACUGGAGAAGGUGACGAACCCGAUAAUAUGAAAAAAUUUUGGAGGUUUUUAUUACGAAAAAAUUUAUCUCCAAAUUCUCUUUCGAAUCUAAGAUUUGCUGUAUUUGGAUUGGGCGAUUCUAGUUAUACUAAGUACAAUUUUGCUGCAAAGAGACUUUAUAAAAGAUUAUUGCAGUUAGGAGCUAAUCAAUUAUUACCAAUAGGAUUAGGAGACGAUCAGCAUGAUUUAGGUUAUGAUGCAGAAGCUGAUCCUUGGAUUGAAAAAUUAUGGAAUACUUUAUUACAAUUGUAUCCACUACCUUCGACGGUUCAACCACUGCCAAAAAAUUAUAAAGUAGAACCAAGAUGGAAGAUAUUUAGUUGUAUUAAUAAUGAAAGUAAACUAAACAUAAGGCGUAAAUCUAUUUAUUCUGUGAUUAAAAAACCAAAUGAUUUCACUGCUAGAAUUAUUCAGAAUAAAAGAAUUACAGCUUCUAAUCAUUUUCAGGAUGUUAGAUUAAUAAAAUUAAAAUGCGAAAAUCAACAAUACUCACCUGGAGAUGUGGUAGUUUUAAGACCAAGAAAUCUAAAGUGGAAAAUACAAGAAUUUUAUGACGUACUUACUACUAAUGGUGUUAAAAUCACACCGGAAACUAAAAUCACCGUCGAACAAAAUGACCCUACCAUGACAGUACCAGAAGUAUUAACCCAAGAAGUUACAUUUGAAGAAUUGUGUUCUGAAUAUUUUGAUCUAAUGUCCAUACCGAGAAGAUACACUUUCCAAAUUUUAGCUCAAUUAACGGAUAGCGAAUUAGAAAAAGAAAAAUGUUUAGAAUUUACAACGGCCGAAGGACAACAAGAUUUAUAUUCCUACACUUACAGACCAAAGAGAAACAUCGUGGAAGUUUUACAAGAUUUUCCACACGCUACUAAAAACUUGAAUCUUGAAAUACUUCUGGAAAUCAUACCACCUAUUAAACCUCGAGAAUUUUCAAUAGCCAGUAGUUGUAGGGCUCAUGUAAAAGAAAUACAUGUUCUAUUAGCCGUGGUUAAAUAUAAAACUAAAUUAGCUAAAGAGAGGUAUGGCUUGGGAUCUAAUUUUUUAGCUGGAUUGAAAGAAGGUGAUGAAAUAACCGGAUGGGUUAAAAAAGGAAGUUUCAAGUUUUCAUCUGAUCCGAAUAUUCCUGUAAUAAUGGUAGGACCAGGAACGGGAGUAGCACCAUUUCGUAGCUAUAUAUUUGAACGAUGCUUAGAGGAUGAUAGCAAUGAAAAAAAUUUAUUUUUAUUCUUUGGCUCCCGUUACAAAGAUAAAGAUUAUUUAUGUAAAGAAGAUUUCGAAGAUAUCAGUAACAAGCAGAAAUUAAAUUUGAUUACAGCUUUUUCUAGAGAACAGGAUGAAAAAGUGUAAGUGAAAUUCCUUGUUGUUUUCAUCAAUAAGCCAGAAAUAAAUGUAUGGUUGACUAAAUUGACUAUUUAGGAUCAAAAUAAUCUAGGAUAGUCAAAUCAGAGAUGAGAGAUGUAGAAAAAAUAUAUAAUGGGUUGUAUUCCAUGAAGAAGAAUGUACUAGGUCUCUUUAAACCAUACUAUAAAUACUAGAUGCACAAUAUGAAUACAAGUCAAACACGAUUGCAGAAAAAAAAAUGGAUUCAAUGGAGGAAAAUAAGGAGACUUGGAAAAACAAAACAGUGACAAUCACAUUAGUCAGAUACUGGAUUUAUCUGAAAAAAAUCUCAAAAUUUGUGAUAAAUUUUUUCAUAUUGCUAUCAAGAAUACAACCUAAAUGGACAAAAUAAAAAAAGUGUCAACCAUAUCAUUCAGCUACUGUCGUUAAACCAAAAGAUUCUCUUGGAAGUCUUGAUAUCAUUGAUCUAUGUCUAAAAUAGGAUGCUGAAGUCAAAGAAGGGACACUCAUACCAGUUAGCUACUAAAAGAGGAUCCCUAUAUAAGCCUUGAAUCCUAUGUAAAAAUCUUUUCCGAUAUCUACUGAAAAAUAUUAUCCAAAAUACAACCAAAAUAAUAAGAGGAUACUCAAGUCGAGAAUAUUUAAUCCCAAUAACAAAUUUAUGAUUUGAACAUUAAGAUGAGCCUGAAAAUAAAUGAAAAAAUAAAAAAAUGUGGACAAUAAGAAAAGUGUCAACUAUAUAACUCAGCUAAUGUAGUAAGGCCAAAAGAUUCUCUCAGAAGCCUUGAUAUCCUUCAUCUAUGUCUACAAUAGGAUGCUUAAAGUCGAAAAAGGAUCCUUAUAGAAGCCUUGAAAUCUAUUUAACAAUCUUUUUAGAUCCCUACUAAGAUUAUGGUUUAGAAGACAACCUGAGGACUAUUAGGCAAAAUUAGGAAAGAAUGUUUGAUGCCACUAUCACUUGUUGAUUGCUUAAGAGAGUAUGUGGAACCAUAAAGAGGAUCUAGAAAGUGAAAAACCAAUCAGAUCCCUACUUAAGAUGAUUUGCCAGAAUAUAUCCUAAAUAGUAAGAGGAUCCUUGAAUCAAGAAAACAUGGUGUCAAUAAUAACUAUCUAUGGUUCAAAAAUCAAGAUGUACCUGAGAAUAAAUAGAAAAAUGAUAAAAAAGUGGCAAAAUAAGAAAAAUUAUAACCAUAGCAAUCAGCUACUAUAGUUAAACUAAAAGAUUACUUCGAAAGACUUGAUAUCCUUGAUCAUUGUUUACAAUAGGAUACUGAAACUCAAAAAAUUACCAAUCUUACUUAUUAGCUACUAAAAUAUUCCCAAAGAAGCCAUAAAGUUUAUUUAGAAGACAAGCAGAGGAUUCAUGAGGUGAAAGGAGAAUAUUCAGUGCCAAUACCACUUGUGUAUCAUUUACCAAAAUAGAUGGGGAAAAGAAGAGGAUGAAGAAAGUUAAAACAGUGAUAACCACACUGAAAUUUAAAAAAAAUCAGCAUAUAAUCCUUAAAAUCUGUAUAACAAUCUGUUUAGGCAUCUAUAGAAAAGUAUUAUAUAGAAUACCAAUUGAAUAGUAUGAGAAUUCUUCAGUUAAUAAGUAGGAGUUGAAUUUAGAUGAAAAAUAACAACUAACAGUGAAGUCACCUGAUCUUGGAUGAUCUUAUUUCCUAAAAGGAAUGUAACUGAUAAAUUUCUGAUGAAAAUUUACAGCAGUACAAUAAAGAGUAUAUUAUUCACUCAUACCAAACUUCAUUUUAAAAUGGUAGCUCAGUACUUAAAUUAUAGGCUCACUUUUCAAUAUGUGAAUAAUUAUUUUCACUUAUGAUUGUAAUAAAAAUUUUCCGGAGACUCCUGGAACUUAUUUUCAGUGCUAUGAUGUGAAGAAUAAUUUUUAGACUGAAAAUGCGCUGGGAUUUUGAAUAAGAUUUUUUUUUAGGUACGUGCAGGAUAAAAUAAAAGAAAAUAAACAUUUGGUGUGGGAUGCCUUAAAACAGAAUGCUCACAUUUUUGUGGCAGGUAGUGCUAAAAACAUGCCCAAAGAUGUCAGAAGGGCUUUUGUUGAGGUUUGUCAAGAAUGUGGUAACAUGGCAGAGGAAGAAGCCAACAUGUAUAUAGGAAAAUUGGAAAAGAAUGGACGUUAUCAAACAGAAUGUUGGUCAUAAUCAUAAAUCGUUUAUUUUGUUUUUUUUUUGGUAUCAAAAACUUGAAAACUUAUAAUUAUCUCACUGGAAAAAUUAUUUCAAAAAUUGGAAAACAGUGGACGUUAUUAAACAGAGGUCAUAGUAAAAAAUGUUUAUUGUUGUGAAUAAAAAUGUUCGUUUUAGUAUUUUGUUUUUUUUUGUAUCAAAAAAUUUGAAAACUUUCAAUUAUCUCACUGUUUGAAGCAAGUGUUUCAAGUGAUUAUAAAAGAAAUCGAAAAUAUGGUGAAAAAUUCUAAUCAUUUAACGCCCAAACAAAAUCAAAAGGUAAAGUCUAGUGAAACAACAAUUUUUGGUCAAUUAUAGCUGAUGUCGGGUAGCCGAAAUAAAGAAAAUCAAUAUUUUUAUACAAAUAGAAUAAGUAAUUCUGAAUUUAAACUGCUUAUUACAAAUA